CAGAAAGUAGUUUAGUAAGAAUCCUAGCUUUGGGAGUUAGGGGCGAGGGUGAAAUCCCCUUCUUUCUGA
rnacentral:tRNA from 1 species